UACAGAGGUGCCGAGCGUUAGGCGGAAUCACUGGGCUUAAAGCGUGUGUAGGCGGACGUCUAAGUACCUUGUGAAAUCCCACGGCUCACCCGUGGAACUGCUGGGUAUACUGGGCGUCUUGAGCCACCUAGGGGCAAGCGGAACAAAUGGUGGAGCGGUGAAAUGCGUAGAUAUCAUUUGGAACGCCAACGGUGAAAACAGCUGGCUGGGGGUGUGCUGACGCUGAGACACGAAAGCCAGGGGAGCGAACGGG
rnacentral:rRNA from 1 species